GAUGAACGCUGGCGGCGUGCCUAAUACAUGCAAGUCGAGCGAACGGACGAGAAGCUUGCUUCUCUGAUGUUAGCGGCGGACGGGUGAGUAACACGUGGAUAACCUACCUAUAAGACUGGGAUAACUUCGGGAAACCGGAGCUAAUACCGGAUAAUAUUUUGAACCGCAUGGUUCAAAAGUGAAAGACGGUCUUGCUGUCACUUAUAGAUGGAUCCGCGCUGCAUUAGCUAGUUGGUAAGGUAACGGCUUGCCAAGGCAACGAUGCAUAGCCGACCUGAGAGGGUGAUCGGCCACACUGGAACUGAGACACGGUCCAGACUCCUACGGGAGGCAGCAGUAGGGAAUCUUCCGCAAUGGGCGAAAGCCUGACGGAGCAACGCCGCGUGAGUGAUGAAGGUCUUCGGAUCGUAAAACUCUGUUAUUAGGGAAGAACAUAUGUGUAAGUAACUGCGCACAUCUUGACGGUACCUAAUCAGAAAGCCACGGCUAACUACGUG
rnacentral:rRNA from 1 species